UACGAAGGGGGCUAGCGUUGCUCGGAAUCACUGGGCGUAAAGGGCGCGUAGGCGGCUCAUGAAGGCUGUGGUGAAAGUCCGGGGCUCAACCUCGGAUCGGCCGUGGCGACUCGUGGGCUGGAGCACUGUAGAGGCGGGUGGAAUUCCGGGUGUAGCGGUGGAAUGCGUAGAGAUCCGGAAGAACACCAGUGGCGAAGGCGGCCCGCUGGGCAGUGGCUGACGCUGAGGCGCGCAGCGUGGGGAGCAAACAGG
rnacentral:rRNA from 1 species